rnacentral:rRNA from 1 species
UAGUGGGGGAUAGCCCGGCGAAAGCCGGAUUAAUACCGCAUACGAUCUGAGGAUGAAAGCGGGGGACCUUCGGGCCUCGCGCUAUAGGGUUGGCCGAUGGCUGAUUAGCUAGUUGGUGGGGUAAAGGCCUACCAAGGCGACGAUCAGUAGCUGGUCUGAGAGGACGACCAGCCACACUGGGACUGAGACACGGCCCAGACUCCUACGGGAGGCAGCAGUGGGGAAUUUUGGGCAAUGGGCGAAAGCCUGAUCCAGCAAUGCCGCGUGUGUGAAGAAGGCCUUCGGGUUGUAAAGCACUUUUGUCCGGAAAGAAAUCCUUGGUUCUAAUAUAGCCGGGGGAUGACGGUACCGGAAGAAUAAGCACCGGCUAACUACGUGCCAGCAGCCGCGGUAAUACGUAGGGUGCAAGCGUUAAUCGGAAUUACUGGGCGUAAAGCGUGCGCAGGCGGUUUGCUAAGACCGAUGUGAAAUCCCCGGGCUCAACCUGGGAACUGCAUUGGUGACUGGCAGCUAGAGUAUGGCAGA